rnacentral:rRNA from 1 species
UGAGUAACGCGUGAGGAACCUGCCUUCAAGAGGGGGAUAACAUUCUGAAAAGAAUGCUAAUACCGCAUGACAUAUCGGAACCACAUGGUUUUGAUAUCAAAGAUUUUAUCGCUUGAAGAUGGACUCGCGUCCGAUUAGUUAGUUGGUGAGGUAACGGCUCACCAAGACCGCGAUCGGUAGCCGGACUGAGAGGUUGAACGGCCACAUUGGGACUGAGACACGGCCCAGACUCCUACGGGAGGCAGCAUG